UUGCUUGAUUUCUCACUACAUUCAUAAUGGCUAACACGGUACUGCACCCUAGUACUAUGUGUUUAUUUAAACUGAUGCUUUAUUUAUAGGUUUCCCUUCCCCUGAUGCACGCAGCGCACACUCUUUUGUACUUGGCUGUGCGAUUGAGCCCUGCAAAUGACUGGCAUGCCAGUACGUAUGCUUCUUGCCUUAUACCCAGUGCUGCUGGAAUACGAUUGCAGAUUAAGAUGAAAAACUGAGGUUAGCGUCCCGGAGUGGAGUUUUCGUAUUCUGUGGAGUCUGCGUGUCUCCUUGGGGUGCUCCAGUUUCUUCCCACAGUCAAAAGACAUGCAGUUUUAGAAUUCUGGUACCCUCCGACUACUCUGCCUCAGCGUUCUGCUUUGAACAGAUCAAACCCUCUACCAAGACAGGUGGGCAUGUCAUUGUAAAUCAGGUUUUGGUUGCAGGCACCUGAGCCAGUUGCAUAUAGAACAAUACUUCUGUUAUUUACUGGUGUGUCAGAGUGGUGACCCUGAGGCGAAGGAUCUGCGCUGCUAUCUGGAAGGUUACUGGUUCAAAUCCUGUUACUGCCAGAAUGGAUCCUUGAGCAAGGUCCAUAACCUGAAAAUUGCUCCAGGGGCUGCUGUACAAUGGCUGAUCCUGUGCUCU